rnacentral:rRNA from 1 species
CCUACGGGAGGCAGCAGUGGGGAAUAUUGGGCAAUGGGCGCACGCCUGACCCAGCAACGCCGCGUGAAGGAAGCAGGCCCUCGGGUUGUAAACUUCUUUUGUCAGGGACGAAGAAAGUGACGGUACCUGACGAAUAAGCCACGGCUAACUACGUGCCAGCAGCCGCGGUAAUACGUAGGUGGCAAGCGUUAUCCGGAUUUACUGGGUGUAAAGUGCGUGUAGGCGGGACUGCAAGUCAGAUGUGAAAUUCCAGGGCUCAACCCUGGAACUGCAUUUGAAACUGUAGUUCUUGAGUGAUGGAGAGGCAGGCGGAAUUCCGUGUGUAGCGGUGAAAUGCGUAGAGAUACGGAGGAACACCAGUGGCGAAGGCGGCCUGCUGGACAUUAACUGACGCUGAGGCGCGAAAGCGUGGGGAGCAAACAGGAUUAGAUACCCUUGUAGUC